GAAAUUAAGGUCCCUCUGUACCCAAAAAAAGCAUGGAUCAAAACAGUUCCAGGAUUGUUGCGGGUGAGUCCAACACUGGCAGAUAUGGUCUUGUUUGCCAAUACCAGUUUGAAGAUGGAUCAUCCCAGUUUAUUUUUCUGCAGAUUAGUGAUAAAAGUGGAGCUAUUGGCAUCAAUCCUUCCCUCAGUUUCUGCACUGAAAAUUAUUUGCAAGUUAUUUCUUCAUGCAAGGGCUUGCUUCUGUUGUCCAGUAUUGGGGAGCUUGGGCUCAAAUACCAUGUGUUUAAUCCCAUGU
rnacentral:misc_RNA from 1 species